UACGUAGGGUGCAAGCGUUGUCCGGAAUUAUUGGGCGAAAGAGCUCGUAGGCGGUCUGUUACGUCGGCUGUGAAAACCUGGGGCUCAACCCCGGGCCUGCAACCGAUACGGGCAGACUAGAGUUCGGCAGGGGGAGACUGGAAUUCCUGGUGUAGCGGUGGAAUGCGCAGAUAUCAGGAGGAACACCGGUGGCGAAGGCGGGUCUCGUGGGCCGAUACUGACACUGAGAAGCGAAAGCGGUGGGGAGCGAACAGG
rnacentral:rRNA from 1 species